rnacentral:rRNA from 1 species
UGGGGAAUAUUGCACAAUGGGCGAAAGCCUGAUGCAGCGACGCCGCGCGAGGGAUGACGGCCUUCGGGUUGUAAACCUCUUUCAGUAGGGACGAAGCGCAAGUGACGGUACCUGCAGAAGAAGCACCGGCUAACUACGUGCCAGCAGCCGCGGUAAUACGUAGGGUGCGAGCGUUGUCCGGAAUUACUGGGCGUAAAGAGCUCGUAGGCGGUUUGUCACGUCGUCUGUGAAAUCCUAGGGCUUAACCCUGGACGUGCAGGCGAUACGGGCUGACUUGAGUACUACAGGGGAGACUGGAAUUUCUGGUGUAGCGGUGGAAUGCACAGAUAUCAGGAAGAACACCGAUGGCGAAGGCAGGUCUCUGGGUAGUAACUGACGCUGAGGAGCGAAAGCAUGGGUAGCGAACAGG